rnacentral:lncRNA from 1 species
UACAGUGAAUUGCUAACCCCUGCACCAGUGGGGAAGGGCGGCUUAUAAAGAGUGCGCUGCCCUUCACAACGGUUCGAUGCACAGGGGUGGAGUAGUGGCGAAUAAAUGCCUACGUUACAGGUAAUGUAUGCCUUAAAUGCUAAUAAAGGUACAUGAAAACGUAUGACCGUUCCCUCCAGGGGGGUUACGAUGUACAGAGUGGAAUCCAGUCGGUAAGUUUGAUACGCUCCGAAUGCUCAUCUCCGACUGGAUGAUGGAGGAAUCAUCACCAACUGGAUGAUGGGAAGUCCUUAAUUCAGUCGGAACUGACUAAGGGCCUUGUCCCUUAUGAAGGGUAGUCCUUGGGUAGGACCUAUAGGGCAGGCCUAUGACCCUACCCUAGGACUAUAACCCCAUCAUUAGUCCUCGAAUGGAUCGGGGUUGGAACGACGAAGCGAUGCUUGGAGUACGGAUCCGACUGGUAUGGGUGCGACUUUGGCGUUGUUUGCCUCGAUCCAUUUUAUCCUCUUGACCAGUGAUCCGAGUGGAUAUAUCUGUGAAAUGAACCGUCAUAGAC